CCCAGGCCCAAAAGAAAAUAAAAGCUCCAAGAAAUCUGUAGAGACGAGACCAAAGCAACUAUGGCGCUUGCAUCUCAUCUCACUUUUCUUGCACCUGCUCCUCUCAAAUCUUCUCGCGCACUCCCUCCUCUCUGCAAUUUCUCCACUUGCUUAUUUCCGGUCGAUAAUUCCGGUUCAAGAGCGAUCCUUUGCAUCAAUGUCUCAACAAGACGCAGACCUAUCUCGGUACGGGCCAUGGCUUCUUCCUUCGGGUCCAGGCUCGAAGAGACCAUCAAGAAGACUGUGGCUGAGAACCCAGUUGUCGUUUACUCCAAAACAUGGUGCUCGUAUUCCUCUGAGGUGAAAACUUUGUUCAAGAAACUAGGUGCGGAGCCAUUGGUUAUCGAAUUGGACGAACUGGGUCCCCAAGGACCUCAGUUACAGAAGGUACUAGAAAGGCUUACUGGCCAGCACACUGUUCCAAAUGUGUUCAUUGGUGGCCAACAUGUUGGAGGUUGCACGGGUUGAGGGACCACCAUACAAAUGCUUUUAUGAUGGGAAAUUUAAAGGGUUUUGAUUUAAAGAACAAGGGGAGCUAGGAUUAAAGAGUUUGAACCAGAGUGUUUCUGAAUCUGGAAAAAGUUCCUGAAACAUUACUGCAGUAGCAUGGGAAAAGAAAAAGAGAAAGAAAUGGGAGAUAGAGAUAGACAAGUAGGCAUGAAGCUUUUCAAACCAACUACUUUUAUGUUUAUAUUACUAUUAUCCAAAUCACAAGAAAAUUGCCAAGUUACAAAGAUACCUUGAAGCUUCACCGGAAAGGAGAACUUGAAACUUUAUUGUCAGAAGCUAAGUCUAAGAGCUCACAGGGCUAGAGUCCCUUGUUAUUCAUUGCUGAUAUUGAGAAAUCCGUUUCUCUUGCAAAUUUUGAGCUUGUUAAGAAGAUAGACAACAUGUCAGCUUUCUUCACACCACCAUUUUUAACUUCAUAGACGUGGGUUUACGUUCAAUUGAUCUCUUCUGUUGAAUUGUAUAUUGAACUCAUAAGCGUUCGUUGUUACUUAAUUGCACUCGAAUCUUCUUUAAUAUUUAAAACUCAACUCUUUAUUGUAUAAACCUAAUAAUCUGUAUUCCAUUUUCUGCCCUCAA